GUGGUUGUUGACAAUCCUUUUCAUUCCUUGGCUUGUAAUUGUAUGCCUCUGCCUUUACUCUUGUGUUCAUUUGGUGCUCUCUCUAUAUGUAUCUGUGCCUAAAUUUCCCUCUGCUUAUAAGAAAACCAGUCAUAUUGGAUUAGGAACCACUUUAGUCCAGUAUGAUCUAAUUUUAACUAAUUAUAUAGUUAAAGGCCCUAUUUUAACAUAAGCUCACAUUCUGAGUUUAUGAGUGGGCAUGGAUUUGGGGGUCUUCAACCCAGUUUAAGCAUGUAUAUAAUAGUUGACUUAAAGUGUUUUUUGAAAAUGGAAAUUUUUAAUAAUAUAAUGUGUAAACACUGGACAUCAGAUACUCUCCCUUUCUGGUGUUUGUUGCUGCCACUGCUUGUUUCUCUUGCUGUUUCUUAUUAAUUAAUUUUCCGAACCAGUUCUAUAAAGUCUCUGUUCUUUGUCACACGUAUCACUGAAGUCUCUGCUUGCUUAGCUUUGUGGUCACCUAAUGAUUCAAAAGACAUUUCCGUAAAUGCCUGGAAGCAAUCAGUCUUCUAGCCUUCGCUGAUGGGUUCUGCAUAUGAGUUCAGGCAUGCCUUCAGGACUCCACCAGGCACUUGGUAAUUCUGCCUUAUCCUUCACUUUUUGCUUGAGCAGCGCCGAAAGGUGAGCCAGAGGUGAGAGCUUAUGGCCAUUUCAGAUGAUUUCUGAGCACGUCCACAGCUGUAUGCAUAUAUGUGACUUUCUAUUUUCCUAACUACUUUCAAUACAUGCCCUGCAGAAAGACCGUUGCUCUGAGUAAGCUCUGAGUCAGGUCAAAUAAAGGCAAGCCUUGUGAGUAGGGUCUUCCAGGAACCAUCAGACAAUUAAAAUAGUGACGAUCCUAUUGGAAUUGGGUUUUGAUGAAGCCCCAAACUUGUUUUGGCCCCCAGUGGCUGGCAGGCUGCUGGUUUUCCUACUACUGUGUGCGAGUUUUAGGGCUGUCAUCCCCGGUGGGGGUGGAAAUGAGGAGAAAAGAAAAGCAAUGUUAACACUCAAUAAAAUGUGCUGCUCUUACCAAGAUUAAACUAGUUUUUUUGAAUAAACCUGCUGAAUUGUUACAAGCCUUUGGUUAAUUUCCCAAGUCCUGAAAGGAUUGAUUCUGCUCAUUUUUGAAAGCAUUCUCAUUGUUUUUAUAGAUUGGAAAAACUUCAGAGAUCCUUACUCUGUCGUUUCCCCUGACAUCCCAUUACCAUAUCUUUUCAGACUAACAAAUAUUUUCUUUAUUUUGUUUUUAUCAUAAUCAGAGAAAACAACAAGUCUUAAAAUGUGAAGUAUUUAAUUAUUUGGCUAAGCAACAUGCAUAUCAUUCUGGAAACAUGGUAAAGAAGCAGGCUCCAUUCUUGAUCCUGGGAAAGCUGCAUUCUUGGCAGUCACUGACAUUAUACUAUUGAGGACAGGCAGGGCAAGCCACCACUAGUUUCAUUGUAAAGGCACAAUUUAUCCCCCAGGAAUACCAGGCAAAUAAGAGUGGCCUAUUCUCUUCUAUUUCCAGAAAUCACUUAAGCCAACGUGACUUGGAUUUAUUAUUUCUCACAAGAGAUUUCUCUUUAUAUCUUUGAAUUCAUUGCUAGUGUACUUCACUAUGAGAUUUCGAAUUUCUAUUUUGUUAGUCUUUUAUUUUGAUGGAUUAGAAUAGACUAUAUUGU
rnacentral:lncRNA from 1 species